CAAGAUGACCAAAUAGAGUCCUCCAGUGACUGUCUCUCCACACAAACACUAAAUUAAACAACUAUCCACACAAGAAAGUACCUUCAUAGGAACAAAAAAAUUGAGUGAGUGACCUCGGUACCUGGUUUAAACAUAGCAUUAAGAAAAGAGGCACUGAAGAACUUGGGAAGUAAAGACCUGCGUUGUCUAUACCACCCCUCUCUCAACUGCAGGUAGCAUAGCAUGGGAGAGACAAUCUGUGUGCUUGGGGGAGGGAGAGUGAAGUGAUUGUGGAACUUUGCACUGGAACUCAGUGCUGCCCUGUCACAGUGGAACAUAGCACAGAGCAGAAUUCUGCCAGCUCACACAGAAGAAGCAUUCCAACAAGCCCUGGACUAGAGGGAGAUUCCCGGCUUCAGUGGUAAAAUCUUGAGUCUUGGCUUCUCCAUUUGCUUGCUAAGGUGGUCUGGGGCCUGGAAAAAAUUUGAGUGCUAGUCAGGCCACAAGGUCUACGGUUUAGGGCAGUGCAGUUCCAGGACAGACUCCUGCUUGGUGGAUGGAGAGGGAAAGAUGUGGAGGACUAUGGCCUACAGCAUGGAUACCAGCUCAGCUCCAGUAAAAUAAAGCACCAGGCAGAUUCCUGAA